rnacentral:rRNA from 1 species
UACGUAGGGGGCUAGCGUUGUCCGGAAUCAUUGGGCGUAAAGCGCGUGUAGGCGGCCCGGUAAGUCCGCUGUGAAAGUCCAGGGCUCAACCCUGGGAUGCCGGUGGAUACUGUCGGGCUCGAGUCCGGAAGAGGCGAGUGGAAUUCCUGGUGUAGCGGUGAAAUGCGCAGAUAUCAGGAGGAACACCAAUUGCGAAGGCAGCUCGCUGGGACGUUACUGACGCUGAGACGCAAAAGCGUGGGGAGCAAACAGG